UAAAAAAAGGUAAGCUACUAAGAGCGAAUGGUGGAUGCCUUGACUGGUAAAGGCGAUGAAGGACGUACUAGACUGCGAUAAGCUACGGGGAGCUGUCAAGAAGCUUUGAUCCGUAGAUUUCCGAAUGGGGCAACCCAAUGUAUAGAGAUAUACAUUACCUAUAUAGGAGCGAACGAGGGGAAUUGAAACAUCUUAGUACCCUCAGGAAAAGAAAUCAAUAGAGAUUGCGUCAGUAGCGGCGAGCGAAAGCGCAAGAGGGCAAACCCAGUGCUUGCACUGGGGGUUGUAGGACUGCAAUGUGCAAGAGCUGAGUUUAGCAGAACAUUCUGGAAAGUAUAGCCAUAGAGGGUGAUAGUCCCGUAUGCGAAAAACAAAGCUUAGCUAGCAGUAUCCUGAGUAGGGCGGGACACGAGGAAUCCUGUCUGAAUCCGGGUCGACCACGAUCCAACCCUAAAUACUAAUACCAGAUCGAUAGUGCACAAGUACCGUGAGGGAAAGGUGAAAAGAACUGAGGUGAUCAGAGUGAAAUAGAACCUGAAACCAUUUGCUUACAAUCAUUCAGAGCACUAUGUAGCAAUACAGUGUGAUGGACUGCCUUUUGCAUAAUGAGCCUGCGAGUUGUGGUGUCUGGCAAGGUUAAGCAAACGCGAAGCCGUAGCGAAAGCGAGUCUGAAUAGGGCGCUUAGUCAGAUGCUGCAGACCCGAAACGAAGUGAUCUAUCCAUGAGCAAGUUGAAGCUAGUGUAAGAACUAGUGGAGGACUGAACCCAUAGGCGUUGAAAAGCCCCGGGAUGACUUGUGGAUAGGGGUGAAAGGCCAAUCAAACUUCGUGAUAGCUGGUUCUCUCCGAAAUAUAUUUAGGUAUAGCGUUGUGUCGUAAUAUAAGGGGGUAGAGCACUGAAUGGGCUAGGGCAUACACCAAUGUACCAAACCCUAUCAAACUCCGAAUACCUUAUAUGUAAUCACAGCAGUCAGGCGGCGAGUGAUAAAAUCCGUCGUCAAGAGGGAAACAACCCAGACUACCAGCUAAGGUCCCUAAAUCUUACUUAAGUGGAAAACGAUGUGAAGUUACUUAAACAACCAGGAGGUUGGCUUAGAAGCAGCCAUCCUUUAAAGAAAGCGUAAUAGCUCACUGGUCUAGUGAUUUUGCGCGGAAAAUAUAACGGGGCUAAAGUAAGUACCGAAGCUGUAGACUUGCACACAACUUAGAUUAUUUAAGUUUAGAAUAUGAGAAACUAAGUUAUAUGUUUAGUUAUAUUUUUACUGAUUUUUAUAGAGUAAAGAUAGAAAUAAAACUUAGUAAAAUCAGUAAAAAUAUUCUUAGGCUAAAGUUAAGUAGUUUAAGUUGUGUGCAAGUGGUAGGAGAGCGUUCUAUUUGCGUCGAAGGUAUACCGGUAAGGAGUGCUGGAGCGAAUAGAAGUGAGCAUGCAGGCAUGAGUAGCGAUAAUUAAUGUGAGAAUCAUUAACGCCGUAAACCCAAGGUUUCCUACGCGAUGCUCGUCAUCGUAGGGUUAGUCGGGUCCUAAGUCGAGUCCGAAAGGGGUAGACGAUGGCAAAUUGGUUAAUAUUCCAAUACCAACAUUAGUGUGCGAUGGAAGGACGCUUAGGGCUAAGGGGGCUAGCGGAUGGAAGUGCUAGUCUAAGGUUGUAGGAGGUUAUACAGGCAAAUCCGUAUAACAAUACUCCGAGAACUGAAAGGCUUUUUGAAGUCUUCGGAUGGAAAGAAGAACCCCUGAUGCCGUCGAGCCAAGAAAAGUUUCUAAGUUUAGCUAAUGUUGCCCGUACCGUAAACCGACACAGGUGGGUGGGAUGAGUAUUCUAAGGCGCGUGGAAGAACUCUCUUUAAGGAACUCUGCAAAAUAGCACCGUAUCUUCGGUAUAAGGUGUGCCUCCCUUUGUAUUAGGAUUUACUCCGAAAGCAAAGAAGGUUACAACAAAGAGUCCCUCCCGACUGUUUACCAAAAACACAGCACUCUGCUAACUCGUAAGAGGAUGUAUAGGGUGUGACGCCUGCCCGGUGCUCGAAGGUUAAUUGAUGGGGUUAGCAUUAGCGAAGCUCUUGAUCGAAGCCCGAGUAAACGGCGGCCGUAACUAUAACGGUCCUAAGGUAGCGAAAUUCCUUGUCGGUUAAAUACCGACCUGCAUGAAUGGCGUAACGAGAUGGGAGCUGUCUCAAAGAGGGAUCCAGUGAAAUUGUAGUGGAGGUGAAAAUUCCUCCUACCCGCGGCAAGACGGAGAGACCCCGUGGACCUUUACUACAGCUUGACACUGCUAUUUGGAUAAGAAUGUGCAGGAUAGGUGGGAGGCUUUGAGUAUAUGACGCCAGUUGUAUAUGAGCCAUUGUUGAGAUACCACUCUUUCUUAUUUGGGUAGCUAACCAGCUUGAGUUAUCCUCAAGUGGGACAAUGUCUGGUGGGUAGUUUGACUGGGGCGGUCGCCUCCCAAAUAAUAACGGAGGCUUACAAAGGUUGGCUCAGAACGGUUGGAAAUCGUUCGUAGAGUAUAAAGGUAUAAGCCAGCUUAACUGCAAGACAUACAAGUCAAGCAGAGACGAAAGUCGGUCUUAGUGAUCCGGUGGUUCUGUGUGGAAGGGCCAUCGCUCAAAGGAUAAAAGGUACCCCGGGGAUAACAGGCUGAUCUCCCCCAAGAGCUCACAUCGACGGGGAGGUUUGGCACCUCGAUGUCGGCUCAUCGCAUCCUGGGGCUGGAGCAGGUCCCAAGGGUAUGGCUGUUCGCCAUUUAAAGCGGUACGCGAGCUGGGUUCAGAACGUCGUGAGACAGUUCGGUCCCUAUCUGCCGUGGGCGUAAGAAGAUUGAAGAGAUUUGACCCUAGUACGAGAGGACCGGGUUGAACAAACCACUGGUGUAGCUGUUGUUCUGCCAAGAGCAUCGCAGCGUAGCUAAGUUUGGAAAGGAUAAACGCUGAAAGCAUCUAAGCGUGAAGCCAACUCUAAGAUGAAUCUUCUCUAAGCUCUCUAGAAGACUACUAGUUUGAUAGGCUGGGUGUGUAAUGGAUGAAAGUCCUUUAGCUGACCAGUACUA
rnacentral:rRNA from 1 species